AGUGGUGAUCUCCCAAGGGUGUCUCCCAAGGCCACUCCUCAAGACCAAGAGAUCCCUUGCCUGGCAUCUGGAAUCUAUAGCAAGAUCUCUGCAAUGAGUUACCCGGGCUAUCCCCCAGCGGGUGGAUACCCACCAGCUGCCCCAGGUAGCAGUCCUUGGGGUGGUGCUGCCUAUCCACCUUCAAAUCCACCUCCAAUUGGUCUGGAAAAUGUGACUGGCUAUGCCAACCAGUUCAAUCCCAGCCACAUGGCUGGAAUGGCAUCCAACCUGGCAGGGACCUUUGGAGGGACAAAUUUACCACAAAGCAUGUAUCCUUCCACACCUGGGGGUUAUCCACCAGUUCCUCCAGGUGGUUUUGGGCAGCCCCCGCCAGGACAGCAGCCCUCGUACGGAGGGUACCCUCCACCUGGAGGAAAUCCCCCAUCCGGGAUGCCACCCUACCCAGGGUACGCGGGCGGCCCUGUGCCAGGCCAGCCCACACCGCCGCCUGCUCAGCAGCCUAUGGGCUAUCCAGGACUUCCAGCAACUCACCCAGGGCAGCAGCCCAUGCCAAGUUAUCCAGCAGGUCCAGCUGUGAACCCGUCUGUGCCCUCUUACUCAGGAGCUACAGGGCCUGCAGUCACUCCUGGAACACACAGAAAUCGAGGUACAAUCACUGAUGCACCGGGCUUUGACCCUCUGAAGGAUGCCGAAGUCUUAAGGAAGGCCAUGAAAGGAUUCGGAACCGAUGAGCAGGCGAUCAUCGAUUGUCUUGGAAGUCGUUCAAACAAGCAACGGCAGCAGAUAAUCCUGUCCUUCAAAACAGCUUAUGGAAAGGAUUUGAUCAAGGAUCUCAAGUCUGAGCUCUCAGGUAACUUUGAGAGGACAAUCUUGGCAAUGAUGAAGACACCUGUCAUGUUUGAUGCUUAUGAAAUCAAGGAAGCUAUAAAGGGUGUUGGCACAGAUGAAAAUUGUCUCAUUGAAAUCUUAGCUUCCCGCAGUAAUGAGCAUAUUCAGGAACUCAACAGGGUCUAUAAAGCAGAAUAUAAGAAAACUCUAGAGGAAGCAAUAAAAAGUGACACGUCUGGACACUUUCAGAGGCUUUUAAUUUCACUUGCUCAGGGAAACAGAGAUGAAAGCACAAAUGUUGACAUGUCUGUUGUCCAAAGAGAUGUGCAGGAGUUGUAUGCAGCUGGAGAGAACCGUCUAGGAACUGAUGAAUCCAAAUUCAAUGCCAUUCUGUGUGCAAGAAGCAGGGCCCACCUUAGAGCAGUCUUCAGCGAGUACCAGAGGAUGUGUAACCGGGACAUCGAAAGCAGCAUAUGCCGCGAGAUGUCUGGGGACCUGGAGAUGGGCAUGCUGGCAGUAGCUUUCUGGAUUGUACAACUGGUAACUUACAACAAUAUCUUUAAACAUCUUAGAAUGCAGUUAAGUGUCUCAAGAACACGCCAGCUUUUUUUGCAGAGAGAUUACAUAAAGCAAUGAAGGGAGCAGGAACAAAGGACAGGACGCUGAUCCGGAUCAUGGUAUCGCGCAGCGAGGUUGACAUGCUGGACAUACGUGCGGAGUACAAGCGGAUGUAUGGCAGAUCCCUCUACUCAGAUAUCACUGGUGAUACUUCAGGAGACUACCGGAAAAUCCUACUCAAGUUGUGUGGUGGAAAUGACUAAAUGGAGCAAUGAGCUUUUCUUUAAAAAAGCUGCUCUUUUCAUGUACUUGCUGCAAAGCAUCUUUUUUCUCCAUAAGUAAAUAUGUAAUGACCAGUUUCUUCUAAAGCAAUUGCAUUUAAAAUAUAAUACUGCAUAUAUCUUCAGUUCAAAAGUAGUAGGUAAUAAAUGCCAAGGCCCCCCAAAAUACCAAGCAUAUGUGCCAUCUGCUCAGGAUUCUGUGUAGUACCCUCAGCAAUCCAUGAAUGGUCAUUAUUUCUUUUCUGCUUAUAUCAUGUUGAAAUAAUGUUUGUUUAAUGAAACAAAAUCACAGUUGUAUGAUUUUAAGGUGUUCAUUUGUAUAAACAUUGAGUGCCAUUUUAAUGCAAGUUUUAGAUCUGUUGUAUGUAGAGUUGGCUUUGGGCUAGCCCACUUCCUGAUACGUGGAGGUAGCAGCCUCAAGGUUUUGUGUCUAGUUAAGACUGCUUUAAAGAAGUUCUGUCAAGUUCUGUUUUUUUACCUUGAUUCUUUUCAAGGUAGAUAUGUUCCACAUUUCAUUCUUGCUAAGGCAGACUGUCAGAAGGCAGGAGUAAUGUUGACAGUAGUAAAGAUUCUGUCAUUAAUGUUUAAAGGUUUCGGAUUGUGCCUUAAAAAUAUAUAUAUAUAUAUGUAAGAAGAGAUUAUGAAAUUAAACCUAAGUCUUUGCA